rnacentral:tRNA from 1 species
GCCGUCGUGGCACAACCUGGUACUGCGUCAGCCUUGAGAGCUGAUUUCCGAAAGGAUAUCUCGGUUCAAAUCCGAGCGACGGCG